UACGGAGGGUGCAAGCGUUGUUCGGAAUUAUUGGGCGUAAAGCGCGUGUAGGCGGCUAUUUAAGUCUGAUGUGAAAGCCCGGGGCUCAACCUCGGAAGUGCAUUGGAAACUGGAUAGCUGGAAUAUGGUUGCUGUGGGUGGAAUGUGUGGUGUAGCGGUGAAAUGCAUAGAUAUCACACAGAAUAUCGAUUGCGAAGGCGGCUACCUGGACCGAUACUGACGCUGAGACGCGAAAGCGUGGGGAGCAAAC
rnacentral:rRNA from 1 species